CAUCCGGCGACGCCCCCAGAGGGCGUCCCGAACAUUUGAAACGUGGCGGCGGUGCCCUGGAAGCUGGAGGCCCGGGAGUGGUGAUGCCCUUCUGUGUCCCGUAGCGCUUCGCGGACGCUUCGGCCCCUCUGUAUCGCAGAGUGACCGGGGCUCCGGCCUUCUCUGGUCAAUCGUCUGGCUCGGGUCUCACAGCUGGCGGCAGGGGGAGAGAGAGAGAGAGCCAGGGGAGCAGCAGGCAGAGCAAGAAGCAGAUUCCAUGAAGAGCAAGUAGCCUGAUGGGACUUGAUCCCAGGACUCUGGAUCAUGACCUGAGCCGAAGGCAGACGCUUAACUGACUGAGCUACCCAGAUUUUUCGUGCACAUGGUACAAAAUUCAGAAAGUGCCCAGUGAAGGUGCUCUUGCUUACAACCCUGCUUCCAGCCCUUCCUCCUCAGAGGUGACCACUCUUAGCAGUAUCUGGUGCUUUCUUUUAGAGAUGUUCCAUCCAGACUUAAGCCCAAAAGCAGGUUCUCUGGUGUCCUCCCCUCUCCCUGCCAAGAUGGUCUCAUCUCCAGCCGCUGGGAGCCCCUUCAAGUUGGAUGCUGAGCCUUGUGACCCAGCCUGCGUCAUCUUUGAUAACUUCCUGGCUUUCUGGAAGAACAAAAUGUUCUGGACUCAUCUUGUACUUUUCCUUCCCAAGUCCUGGAAUCCACCAUCUCUCUGAGGAGCCCUGGGUCCCUUCCACGAGAAGUGCCAUUGGGAGGCCACAGCCUGGGUUGGGGAGAUGGAGGGAAGCAGCAAGCUCUGGGUGAGGAGCCCAUAGCCUGGCAGCCCCCUCCACCUCCCCUGGCGGUGGGGCAUUAGAGGUCCGGUCAAGUCCUCCCAGACUCACCUGAGGCCGAGAACAAAGAUAUGGGAAAUAUUCAUGCUCUGUACCCCUGGGCUGCGAUGGCGCAGUGGGAGCACGUGGACCUGGAUUCAAGCCCCAGCUCUGCUGCUGUGUGUCCGAGUGACUAUGGGCACGUGACUUACCCUCUCUGAGCCUCGGGAGCCUCAUCUGUGAGAUGGGGUUAAUAGUACUCACCUUGUGUUAGCGUGAGGAUGACAUGAGACAACACACUUAGAUUUCUGACCUAUCUCACUUACAGCAGGUGCUUGCUCAGUGAGUGUGAAUUCCCUUCUGAUCCCUCCUUGACCAUGUGACUUCAGCAUCCCCGGAGGCUGGGACUGGAUUAUUGGAUGGUUUCGGACAGGAGAAUGGAGGUGGCUAGGGAAGAGGAAGAAAUUGGGAAAUAGAUGUUUGUGGACAAAUCAAUGGGAGCUGGGGGUGUGGUUAAUUCAAAACAGGGACGAUGAUUUUAAUGGUCAGAUCUGUCCAACAAAGGAAGGUUCUGUUUGCUUGGGAAAGGGGGAGGGCCUCCUAUUGCUAGAAGUAUGUAAGUAGAGGCAGAGGGACCAUUGCCACAGGUAGGUUUUUGUGAAGAUUCCCACACUGGCCGGGAGGUUGAUUCAUUCACUCAGCAAACUUUUGGAAUCCUCCUGGUCCUUGCCCAGCCCUAUGAUGGGACAGGGGAUGCCAAGGUGACUGGGAUACCAUUUCUGGCCCAGGGAGCACCCAGUCCAGGGAAGGAACUGAUCUCCAAGGUCCCUUCUACUCUGCGCUUCUGUGCUUUUUAGGGUCCAAGCCUUGGAGGGAGUUGGCUGAAGGUUUUCAGCGUGCGCCUUUUGGUAUUGAUUACCCGGAGCUGGAGCUGGAGCUGGCUGGGGAGCCGCAGGAGGAGGACGCUGCAGUGUUAUUAGUGCGGAGGACACGCUGUAAUCUGUCAGUGUCACCCUGGUCGCAGCUGGUGGGGGACACAGCCCGCUGUUAACUCCUCCCUUCCCAGCAGCCACUGAGCAUAUAACUUGUAUCGCACCCUCCCCAGCACCUCUAUCUGCCCCUAUACGAGGGAGAAUUUCUUUUUCUAUUUCUCCCUGGCAUGAGCCCUCCGUCCCUGUCAUACUGAUUUAUUCAGUGUUUCCCACCUCUGUACCUUCAGUUACCAGAUUUCCCUACCAGCUACAGUCACUAAAUCCACUCCCAUCCAUCCAACCAUCCAUCCAUCCAUCCAUCCAUCCAUCCAUCCAUCCAUCCAUCAUCUUAGCACCUAAAAAUCCACCCAUUUUCCCAUUUAUCCAACCAACUAUUCAUCUAAAUAUCCAUCCAAUCAUCCAUCUAUCCACCCAUCCGUCCAGCUAACAACUGUCCACCUAUCCGUCUAUCCAUCUGUCUCCCCACUCACCCUCCAUCCGUUCAGCCUUACAAUUCAGUUCAGGCCAAUUCAAUUCAACCCAACUAAGUUCAAUUCCAUUCAUCUCUACUCACUUGAUAAGAUUAUGAGGCCUUGCCACGUGCCAAGCAGGUGAUAAGUGAGUCAUGUCUGUUGUUAACAAGCCCAUGAGAUGAAUCCUCUUCACCUUUCAUGGCCAGCUUUGAGCCUUCCCUCUUUUAGCCCUUUGCCAGUGUGUUAGAAGCAGUUGACUCUAAAGGACAGUCCUAUGGGGAAAAAAAAGUUUAGCCUGGUUCUCAAAACCUCCAUAGGUCAGAACUAAGAUGAGGAGAGAAGCAGAGAGUCUCUGGGAGACGGGAGGGAGGUGAGUGUGAGGUAAGCCAAUGGGACAGGGAUUUUGGUUCUCUAGAGGGAGGCGCUUCUGUUCAGCGGUGGGCAGUCUAGCAGGACUGAAUGGGUAUGCACUGGGUGAUGAAGAUAGGGGAACAAGUUAGAGACCAGUGUUAGAGAAGUAGGGGUAGGAUGGGAGUUAGAAUAGGGGAACCAACAGACUGCUUGGCUUACUGUCCCAGCUCCACCAUAUUCCUGCUGCGUGACUUUGGUCCUCUAUCUUAACCUCUUCCAUCCCCAUUUCCUCAUUUGUAAAAUGGGGCUAAUAAAUUGGAUCUAUCUCACAGUGUUGCUGUUAGCAUUAAAAUGGAAAGUGUUUAAUGCCCGGCACAAAGGGAAAGCCGACUAGAUUCUAGCCAUGAUUAUGAUGACUCUUCGUUGAGCCCCACCUACAUCCAGGCACUGUGCUAGGCGCUUUCACGUUCAAGGUCUCCUGGGGGCAUCCUGGUUGCUUAUCCUACACAGGGAUUAUCAAACCCAUUUUGCAGGUGAGGAGAUGGAGGCUCCGGGAGGCUGUCUCUGGCUUACAUCACACAGCUGGGGAAGGGUCAAGCUGGGCUGCAAAUACAGGCCUUUCUAACUCUCCUGCCCACCUGCCCUCUUCUGCUGUUUUCAGAGGAUGGCUGCCCGGAGAUACAAGGAUGCUGAAACUUCCAUCUUGGUUCUGUCUGGGCUGCUUUCUUGGACUUCUCAACUUUUAGCCUGGAGUUGUUAAUUAUCGUUUCAUGUGUGUUUUCUCUCUCCUUCAGAGAGCUUGAGGUUGAGAAACAGUUUUUCUUCUCUGUAGCAACCGAAGCGUUGACUUUGACAAUGAAAGCUACAGAACUUGUGAUAUUUCCCUUCUUGCGUGGCUUGCCAGGAACCUUGUGCUUUUUGUCAUAUUGCUUCUUUUUCCUUUCCAGGGUGCUUGGAUGUAGGAAAGGGACAUACCUUACUUAUAUCUGUCUCCUUACAGUGUCUAGCCCUGGCUCGGUGAAUUUUGCAUAGAAAGCUCUGUGGUGAUUUUCCCUGUCGUGUGUGGGUCAGGGGCUCUCCUUGCACUUAGAAUAAAAUCCAAAGUCCUGCCCUGUGAGGACUCACCCCUGCCCACCUCUUCCUACUCAUCUCAUGUCACUUGUCCCUCGUUUAUCAGGGAUAAUCACCUGGGUCAUCUUUUAUGUCUACUCACAGGCCCAAUUCUUUUCUGCCUCAUGGAAAAGGAGCUUUGCACCUGCUGUUCCCUACUCCCAGAACCUUCCCUCCUCUCCCAUUCCCUGUGUUUGCCCGGCUCACCCUCCUUACUCUGCAAAUUUCAGACGAAAGUAUCGGUGAGAGCCUCUACGGACAGCUCUAUCUAAAGGGGUUGCGGUAUCUAACCUUCAAAGGCGGUGCCUGAUGGCUCCUCCCCUCUCAGCUGCACUGGCUGCUGAUCCCAGCAGGAGGUGGACUCAGUUUCUCCACCCCCUGGACCUGGCCUGGGGUUUGCUUUGACCCACAGAAUGUAGCAGAGGUGACUUGCUGGGAUUUCUGAGGCUAGGCCCUUGGAAGAUGAGCAGCCUCUAAUUUCUGCUGCUUGGACCCCAGCUGCCAUGCUGAGAGAGGCCCAAGACACAUAGAGGGGCCACCGGGGGCAGAAAUGAGGGGUUCGGGUCUAGAACAUCCCCGAGCUCCCAGCCAGCAGUCUGCGUCGACUAUGGCACGUGGGUGAGCCCCUGUGGUGGUUCCAGCCCAGUCAGGCCCUCAGAUGACCACACCUGCUCCCCUUCUGCCCCUGUCAUCAUCCUGGGGUGCAGAAGAACCAUGGGAUUGGGAGGGAUAAGAAAAUAGUUAUUAUAGGGGCGCCUGGGUGGCAUAGCAGUUAAGCGUCUGCCUUCAGCUCAGGGCGUGAUCCCGGCGUUAUGGGAUCGAGCCCCUGG